rnacentral:rRNA from 1 species
GAUGAACGCUAGCUACAGGCUUAACACAUGCAAGUCGAGGGGAAACGGCAUUGAGUGCUUGCACUCUUUGGACGUCGACCGGCGCACGGGUGAGUAACGCGUAUCCAACCUUCCCAUUACUGUGGGAUAACCUGCCGAAAGGCAGACUAAUACCGCAUAGUCUUCGAUGACGGCAUCAGAUUUGAAGUAAAGAUUUAUCGGUAAUGGAUGGGGAUGCGUCUGAUUAUCUUGUUGGCGGGGUAACGGCCCACCAAGGCUACGAUCAGUAGGGGUUCUGAGAGGAAGGUCCCCCACAUUGGAACUGAGACACGGUCCAAACUCCUACGGGAGGCAGCAGUGAGGAAUAUUGGUCAAUGGACGGAAGUCUGAACCAGCCAAGUAGCGUGCAGGAUGACGGCCCUAUGGGUUGUAAACUGCUUUUGUAUGGGGAUAAAGUUAGGGACGUGUCCCUAUUUGCAGGUACCAUACGAAUAAGGACCGGCUAAUUCCGUGCCAGCAGCCGCGGUAAUACGGAAGGUCCAGGCGUUAUCCGGAUUUAUCGGGUUUAAAGGGAGCGUAGGCUGGAGAUUAAGUGUGUUGUGAAAUGUAGACGCUCAACGUCUGAAUUGCAGCGCAUACUGGUUUCCUUGAGUACGCACAACGUUGGCGGAAUUCGUCGUGUAGCGGUGAAAUGCUUAGAUAUGACGAAGAACUCCGAUUGCGAAGGCAGCUGACGGGAGCGCAACUGACGCUAAAGCUCGAAGGUGCGGGUAUCAAACAGG